UGGGGAAUAUUGCACAGUGGGCGGAAGCCUGAUGCAGCGACGCCGCGUGGGGGAUGAAGGCCUUCGGGUUGUAAACUCCUUUCGACAGGGACGAAGCUUUUGUGACGGUACCUGUAUAAGAAGCACCGGCUAACUACGUGCCAGCAGCCGCGGUAAUACGUAGGGUGCGAGCGUUGUCCGGAAUUACUGGGCGUAAAGAGCUCGUAGGUGGUUUGUCGCGUCGUCUGUGAAAUUCCGGGGCUUAACUCCGGGCGUGCAGGCGAUACGGGCUGACUUGAGUGCUGUAGGGGAGACUGGAAUUCCUGGUGUAGCGGUGAAAUGCGCAGAUAUCAGGAGGAACACCGAUGGCGAAGGCAGGUCUCUGGGCAGUAACUGACGCUGAGGAGCGAAAGCAUGGGUAGCGAACAGGAUUAGAUACCCUGGUAGUCCAUGCCGUAAACGGUGGGCGCUAGGUGUAGGGGGCUUCCACGUCUUCUGUGCCGUAGCUAACGCAUUAAGCGCCCCGCCUGGGGAGUACGGCCGCAAGGCUA
rnacentral:rRNA from 1 species